GGUUGCCUUUGAGAGAGUGCAUUGGAUGCUCCUCGGGCUUAUGACGGAUGUACUUGAAGCCAUUCAGCUGGAAAAUCCUAUAUACUGAGCGACGCCAACUUCCUGAGCGAUUCGAACGAAGAGGAAAUGCGAACGUGGGAUGAGUCAAUGCGAAAAAUGAGAAGAAGACGGAUGGCAAAAAAAAAAAAAAAGAAAAAAGAAAAAGGGAAAAAGAAAUGCCAAAGAUAGACAAAGGCAAUGGCAUAGUUUUUUGCGCGUAUAAUGGUAACUGACACGUUGUCUGUUCCAAACACAAAUAGAGCAACAGUGCAAGGAUGAUGAAGAGAGAGAGAGAGAGAGAUGGACAGAGUGAGAGAGAGGGAGAGGGGUGAUAUAGCACAGGCGCACUUUUUACUCUCUUCCGUAUUAUUAUUAUUUUUUUCUUCUGUUACACGGCCGAUUUCGACGAGGCAGAAUAAAUAGCCGGGCGAGAAAAAAAAGGGCAAAUCAUUGCAAUAGGAAAUGAAAAUGCUGCGAACUGAGAGAGAGAGAGUGAGGAAAUCGAAAAGAGACAGCAAAAUCAAUAGGAAACAGUAUGAGGAUAUUUAAGCAGGAUAUUUAAUAUGAGCACCUAAAGCUUUAUAACCUUUAUAACUGGCAUACA